AGUGAACGCUGGCGGUAGGCCUAACACAUGCAAGUCGAACGGCAGCACAGUAAGAGCUUGCUCUUACGGGUGGCGAGUGGCGGACGGGUGAGGAAUACAUCGGAAUCUACUUUUUCGUGGGGGAUAACGUAGGGAAACUUACGCUAAUACCGCAUACGACCUACGGGUGAAAGCGGGGGAUCUUCGGACCUUGCGCGAUUGAAUGAGCCGAUGUCGGAUUAGCUAGUUGGCGGGGUAAAGGCCCACCAAGGCGACGAUCCGUAGCUGGUCUGAGAGGAUGAUCAGCCACACUGGAACUGAGACACGGUCCAGACUCCUACGGGAGGCAGCAGUGGGGAAUAUUGGACAAUGGGCGCAAGCCUGAUCCAACCAUACCGCGUGGGUGAAGAAGGCCUUCGGGUUGUAAAGCCCUUUUGUUGGGAAAGAAAAGCAGCAGGUUAAUACCCCGCUGUUCUGACGGUACCCAAAGAAUAAGCACCGGCUAACUUCGUG
rnacentral:rRNA from 1 species